rnacentral:lncRNA from 1 species
ACUUCAUAGUCUCCGACGCACCUCCAAACCCUUUCUCCUGCUCUAGGCCCAGCGCCUUGGACGUGCACAGUAGAUCCCUCCCGGCUUCCCGGCUUCCCGUCUCGUCACCCUCUGCUCAGAACCUGAGGACGCAGCCAUGGAGCGGUCGGCCUUCAUGGAGCUGGAUGCUGGGAGCAGGCUGGUGAUGCAUCUCCGCGAGUGGCCAGCCCUGCUGGUCAGCAGCACGGGCUGGACAGAGUUUGAACAACUUACUCUUGAUGGACACAACCUUCCUUCUCUUGUCUGUGUGAUAACAGGGUCGGUGGACCUGGGUGUCUGUCUGCACAUGUCCUCCAGUGGCCUGGACCUGCCCAUGAAGGUGGUGGACAUGUUCGGGUGCUGUUUGCCUGUGUGUGCCGUGAACUUCAAGUGGUAGGAGCAGAACCCGAAUCUUUCUGGGGAUAGCUUCACAGAUCCACCGCUGAGGAGGAAACAGUGCAGAGCGAGCUGCCCACAUUUACAUGAGCUGGUGAAACAUGAAGAAAAUGGCCUGGUCUUUGAGGACUCAGAGGAACUGGCAGCUCUGCAGAUGCUUUUCUCAAACUUUCCUGAUCCUGCAGGCAAGCUAAACCAGUUUUGGAAGAACCUGCGGGAGUCGCAGCAGCUCCGAUGGGAUGAGAGCUGGGUGCAGACUGUGCUCCCUUUGGUUAUGGACAUACAACUCCUGGGCCAGAGGCUAAAACCCCGGGACCCCUGCUGUCCUUCCCGCAGCUUCUUCUCGGAGUCUCAGGGCAAACCCUUUUGAGCAGCGCCUCCCAGUGGCCAGAAGCUGAAAUGACGGCAGUGGUGCCGCCUGGUGAAUGAAUUGGUUCUGUGACCCG